rnacentral:rRNA from 1 species
UGGGGAAUCUUCCACAAUGGGCGAAAGCCUGAUGGAGCAACGCCGCGUGUGUGAUGAAGGGUUUCAGCUCGUAAAACACUGUUGUAAGAGAAGAAUGACAUUGAGAGUAACUGUUCAAUGUGUGACGGUAUCUUACCAGAAAGGAACGGCUAAAUACGUGCCA